UAGGGAAUCUUCGGCAAUGGACGAAAGUCUGACCGAGCAACGCCGCGUGAGUGAAGAAGGUUUUCGGAUCGUAAAACUCUGUUGUUAGAGAAGAACAAGGACGUUAGUAACUGAACGUCCCCUGACGGUAUCUAACCAGAAAGCCACGGCUAACUACGUGCCAGCAGCCGCGGUAAUACGUAGGUGGCAAGCGUUGUCCGGAUUUAUUGGGCGUAAAGCGAGCGCAGGAGGUUUCUUAAGUCUGAUGUGAAAGCCCCCGGCUCAACCGGGGAGGGUCAUUGGAAACUGGGAGACUUGAGUGCAGAAGAGGAGAGUGGAAUUCCAUGUGUAGCGGUGAAAUGCGUAGAUAUAUGGGGGAACACCAGUGGCGAAGGCGGCUCUCUGGUCUGUAACUGACGCUGAGGCUCGAAAGCGUGGGGAGCAAACAGG
rnacentral:rRNA from 1 species